AACGAACGCUGGCGGCAGGCCUAACACAUGCAAGUCGAGCGGACCCUUCGGGGUUAGCGGCGGACGGGAGAGUAACGCGUGGGAAUAUGCCCUUCUCUACGGAAUAGUCCUGGGAAACAGGGGGUAAUACCGUAUCAGCCCUUCGGGGUGAAGAUUUAUCGGGGAAGGAUUAGCCCGCGUUGGAUUAGGUAGUUGGUGGGGUAAUGGCCUACUAAGACGACGAUCCAUAGCUGGUUUGAGAGGAUGAUCAGCCACACUGGGACUGAGACCCGGCACAGACUCCUACGCGAGGCAGCAGUGGGGAAUCUUAGACAAGGGGGGCAACCCUGAUCUAGCCAUGCCGCGUGAGUGAUGAAGGCCUUAGGGUUGUAAAGCUCUUUCAGCUGGGAAGAUAAUGACGGUACCAGCAGAAGAAGCCCGGGCUAACUCCGUG
rnacentral:rRNA from 1 species